UGGAGUUUGAACAUCAGUCCUUACAUAUAUUUUAUAUAUUAUCUUUAUUAACUGAGAUAAGUUUCUGACGACAUAAUCAAUCAAACUUUACAAAGUCCUCAAUUACAAAAAAAACAUAAGUCCUCAAAGAUGGUACUAUUUAUCACAUAUUUGUAAACAUAACACAAUAACUAGACACAAACAAACAAAAUAACAACGCAUAUAGAUAAUCUCAAAACAAUGUUUGGAGGCUUUCUCCAUUUUCAUCACUACAUCCCCAUCUUUUUCUUUCCUCUCAUCAUCACAAGUCCCACUUCCCUUCCUUCCUUCACUUUCUCAUGUCCCCAUUCACGACACUUGUGGUCUACUUCGAGUCAAAAAGGGUAAUUAAAAUACUUAAUCGGAGAAAGACGAACCAUCUUUGCAUCAUUGUUUUUUUCAUGUCUCUUAAAAGUUUUUUUUUUUUUCCAUUCAAAAUAAAAUUGAGGUCCCUACAAAAAUAAAAGAGUAGACUAUAACGGCUCACACACACACACAUCGUACUUAUUUUCUGUUCACAGUUCACACCAAGAGUGAAUGGAAUGGAAUUUAUUACUCUAGUCUAACCUACAGAUUACUAACAAAAUAGGGGGAGUAGUACUUUGACUUACUCCUUAACAUUGCUUCAAUUUGAAGGUUUAUUGAAAGUUAAAAAUGAACAUGCUGCUACAUCAUCAAAAAAAAAUAAAAUUAACAUGCUAAAAUAAAUUCUACUAUGGAUCACCUUCCUAAGUGGUCCAUCAUACUAGUAUUUGAAAAAUAUUUAAACUCACUUGAAUUGAUCUGAUAAUAUUGACUUGAAACCUGAGACUUAAGAGUAUGUUCUUCUUCAAAAUCUCAUGUUCGAUUUUUGAACUGCUUAAAUGGUCACACUCACAUCAUGUUGGUAUUAGUCCUACUACACAAAUGGGGUAAUUUUAAUUAUUAUUUCAUAUUCACUACGUAGAAAACCGGAGUUAUGGAUCUACUUUACCUUAAAUUGAACAUGUUAAGAUGGGAAGAGAGUCAUGAAGUGAGUUGCUAGUAAUAUGAAAAGUAGUGGAUGUUUUCUACGCAAUCACAUAGAAUGCCUG
rnacentral:lncRNA from 1 species